UACGUAGGGGGCAAGCGUUGUCCGGAUUCAUUGGGCGUAAAGAGCGUGUAGGCGGCCAGGUAGGUCGGUUGUGAAAACUGGAGGCUCAACCUUCAGAGGUCGACCGAAACCAUCUGGCUAGAGUCCGGGAGAGGAGAGUGGAAUUCCUGGUGUAGCGGUGAAAUGCGCAGAUAUCGAGAGGAACACCUGCGGCGAAGGCGGGUUGCUGGGCUGACACUGACGCUGAGGAGCGAAAGCGUGGGGAGCGAACAGG
rnacentral:rRNA from 1 species